AUACGGAGGAUCCGAGCGUUAUCCGGAUUUAUUGGGUUUAAAGGGAGCGUAGGCGGGAGAUCAAGUCAGCUGUGAAAUGUAGAUGCUCAACAUCUGCACUGCAGUUGAAACUGGUUUUCUUGAGUGCGUAAGGGGCAGGCGGAAUUCGUCGUGUAGCGGUGAAAUGCUUAGAUAUGACGAAGAACUCCGAUCGCGAAGGCGGCCUGCCGGGCCGCGACUGACGCUGAAGCUCGAAGGUGCGGGUAUCGAACAGGAUUAGAUACCCUGGUAGUCCGCACAGUAAACGAUGGAUACUCGCUGUCGGCGAUAUACGGUCGGUGGCCAAGCGAAAGCGUUAAGUAUCCCACCUGGGGAGUACGCCGGCAACGGUGAAACUCAAAGGAAUCGACGGGG
rnacentral:rRNA from 1 species